rnacentral:rRNA from 1 species
UACGAGGGGUGCAAGCGUUGCCCGGAAUUAUUGGGCGUAAAGGGUAGGUAGGUGGUCUCAUUUGUCUGGGUGAAAGCCUUGAGCUUAACUCAAGAAGUGCCCAGAAACGGUGAGACUAGAGUCCUGGAGAGGGCCGUGGAAUUCCCGGUGUAGCGGUGAAAUGCGUAGAGAAUCGGGAGGAACACCAGCGGCGAAGGCGGCGACCCUGGACGAAGGUGACUGACCACUCAACUACGAAAGCGUGGGGAGCAAACAGGGA